rnacentral:rRNA from 1 species
AACGCGAAGAACCUUACCUGGGCUCGAACGGCUUCCCAACGUCGGUAGAAAUGCCGAUACCCCGCAAGGGGGUGGAGUCGAGGUGCUGCAUGGCUGUCGUCAGCUCGUGUCGUGAGAUGUUGGGUUAAGUCCCGCAACGAGCGCAACCCUUGUCCUGUGUUGCCAUGGUUGAAAGACCGGAACUCGCAGGGAGACCGCCAGCGAUAAGCUGGAGGAAGGUGGGGAUGACGUCAAGUCCUCAUGGCCUUUAUGUCCAGGGCUACACACGUGCUACAAUGGACGGUACAAAGCGUCGCUAACCUGCGAAGGGGAGCCAAUCGCAAAAAACCGUUCUCAGUUCGGAUUGCAGGCUGCAACUCGCCUGCAUGAAGCUGGAAUCGCUAGUAAUGGCAGAUCAGCACGCUGCCGUGAAUACGUUCCCGGGCUUGUACGACACCGAUAGC